rnacentral:tRNA from 1 species
GGGGAUGUAGCUCAGUAGUAGAGCACUUGCCUACCAUGCAUGAGGCCCGGGGUUCAAUCCCUAGCACUCCA